AUUGAACGCUGGCGGCAUGCCUUACACAUGCAAGUCGAACGGCAGCACGGGUGCUUGCACCUGGUGGCGAGUGGCGAACGGGUGAGUAAUACAUCGGAACAUGUCCUGUAGUGGGGGAUAGCCCGGCGAAAGCCGGAUUAAUACCGCAUACGAUCUACGGAUGAAAGCGGGGGACCUUCGGGCCUCGCGCUGUAGGGUUGGCCGAUGGCUGAUUAGCUAGUUGGUGGGGUAAAGGCCUACCAAGGCGACGAUCAGUAGCUGGUCUGAGAGGACGACCAGCCACACGGGGACUGAGACACGGCCCAGACUCCUACGGGAGGCAGCAGUGGGGAAUUUUGGACAAUGGGCGAAAGCCUGAUCCAGCAAUGCCGCGUGUGUGAAGAAGGCCUUCGGGUUGUAAAGCACUUUUGUCCGGAAAGAAAUCCUUGGCCCUAAUACGGUCGGGGGAUGACGGUACCGGAAGAAUAAGCACCGGCUAACUACGUG
rnacentral:rRNA from 1 species